CCUCGGAUGCGUCUGCCUGCAUCGGGACGACACUGAGGAUGAG
rnacentral:misc_RNA from 1 species